UACGGAGGGGGCUGGCGUUGUUCGGAAUUACUGGGCGUAAAGCGCACGUAGGCGGCUUUGUAAGUUAGAGGUGAAAGCCCAGGGCUUAACCCUGGAAUUGCCUUUAAGACUGCAUCGCUAGAAUUGUGGAGAGGUAAGUGGAAUUCCGAGUGUAGAGGUGAAAUUCGUAGAUAUUCGGAAGAACACCAGUGGCGAAGGCGACUUACUGGACACAUAUUGACGCUGAGGUGCGAAAGCGUGGGGAGCAAACAGG
rnacentral:rRNA from 1 species